UACAGAGGUCUCAAGCGUUGUUCGGAUUCAUUGGGCGUAAAGGGUGCGUAGGCGGCGCGGUAAGUCGGGUGUGAAAUCUCGGAGCUUAACUCCGAAACUGCAUUCGAUACUGCCGUGCUUGAGGACUUGGAGAGGAGACUGGAAUUUACGGUGUAGCGGUGAAAUGCGUAGAUAUCAGGAGGAACACCGAUGGCGAAGGCAGUGGUCUGGGCCGAUACUGACGCUGAGGAGCGAAAGCGUGGGGAGCGAACAGG
rnacentral:rRNA from 1 species